UGACGUUGAUAGGCCGGGUGUGUAAGCGCAGCGAUGCGUUGAGCUAACCGGUACUAAUGAACCGUGAGGCUUAACCUUACAACGCCGAAG
rnacentral:rRNA from 3 species